rnacentral:rRNA from 1 species
UACGGGGGGGGUAAGCGUUGUUCGGAAUUACUGGGCGUAAAGGGCUCGUAGGCGGCCAACUAAGUCGGACGUGAAAUCCCUCAGCUUAACUGGGGAACUGCGUCUGAUACUGGAUGGCUUGGAUUUGGGAGAGAGAUGCGGAAUUCCAGGUGUAGCGGUGAAAUGCGUAGAUAUCUGGAGGAACACCGGUGGCGAAGGCGGCAUCCUGGACCAACAUUGACGCUGAGGAGCGAAAGCCAGGGGAGCAAACGGG